UCUUAGUGGCGGACGGGUGAGUAACGCGUGGGGAACCUGCCUUAUACAGGGGGAUAACACUUAGAAAUAGGUGCUAAUACCGCAUAAGCGCACGGGGCUGCAUGGCCCAGUGUGAAAAACUCCGGUGGUAUAAGAUGGACCCGCGUCUGAUUAGCUUGUUGGCGGGGUAACGGCCCACCAAGGCGACGAUCAGUAGCCGGCCUGAGAGGGUGGACGGCCACAUUGGGACUGAGACACGGCCCAAACUCCUACGGGAGGCAGCAG
rnacentral:rRNA from 1 species